AAUAGUUUGGAAAGCAUAGAAAUACGACUUUUAUUUGGGCACCUUAGUCGUAUUGAGCGAUUGGUGCAACCGGCCUUUUAUGUU
rnacentral:ncRNA from 2 species